rnacentral:rRNA from 1 species
UNUGACUUGAGUGCAGAAGGGGAGAGUGGAAUUCCAUGUGUAGCGGUGAAAUGCGUAGAUAUAUGGAGGAACACCAGUGGCGAAAGCGGCUCUCUGGUCUGUCACUGACGCUGAGGCUCGAAAGCGUGGGUAGCGAACAGGAUUAGAUACCCUGGUAGUNCACGCCGUAAACGAUGAGUGCUAGGUGUUAGGCCCUUUCCGGGGCUUAGUGCCGGAGCUAACGCAAUAAGCACUCCGCCUGGGGAGUACGACCGCAAGGUUGAAACUCAAAGGAAUUGACGGGGGCCCGCACAAGCGGUGGAGCAUGUGGUUUAAUUCGAAGCAACGCGAAGAACCUUACCAGGUCUUGACAUCCCGAUGCUAUUCUUAGAGAUAGGAAGUUACUUCGGUACAUCGGAGACAGGUGGUGCAUGGUUGUCGUCAGCUCGUGUCGUGAGAUGUUGGGUUAAGUCCCGCAACGAGCGCAACCCUUAUUGUUAGUUGCCAUCAUUAAGUUGGGCACUCUAGCGAGACUGCCGGUAAUAAACCGGAGGAAGGUGGGGAUGACGUCAAAUCAUCAUGCCCCUUAUGACCUGGGCUACACACGUGCUACAAUGGUCGGUACAACGAGUUGCGAGCCGGUGACGGCAAGCUAAUCUCUGAAAGCCGAUCUCAGUUCGGAUUGGAGGCUGCAACUCGCCUCCAUGAAGUCGGAAUCGCUAGUAAUCGCGGAUCAGCACGCCGCGGUGAAUACGUUCCCGGGCCUUGUACACACCGCCCGUCACACCACGAGAGUUUGUAACACCCGAAGUCGGUGAGGUAACCUUUUAGGGGCC